GUAAGAAAGGGAAACGGAAAGAACAGGCUCAAGUCAGUGCUGGUGGGCAUGGAAGAAAAACCUAUCAUGCAUCUGUUUACCGUGCGUCCUUUCAAUCAUCUGCAACCAGAAGAACUAAAUCUUAUUCGGGGUUAGGCAAACAAAACGGAAAGGGAGCCGCCGCUGCAAUGAGUAAUGAUGGGGGCAGAAUGCGGCGUGAAGUUAAGGAGAAAGCCUCAAUAUCUGGAACUGCUGGCAACGGUGAAAGGCGAACCCGGCAAAGAAAGUAUCAUGGAGUUACCAAUGCUUCAAGGGAUGGAGGAGCUGACACAUAUUUGGAGAAGGUGAAAGGGAAAGCAAAAGUUGUUGGAAUGAAGGUGAAAACAGAACCUGUUGUUGAG